GCGGGGGUAAUUCAGUGGCAGAAUGUCUCGUUGCCAACGAGAAUGUCGCGGGUUCGAAUCCCGUCCCCCGCUCCA
rnacentral:tRNA from 1 species